rfam:Brachypodium distachyon strain Bd21 chromosome 2, whole genome shotgun sequence.
UUUGUACUUCCUCCGUCCAACAAAAUGUUCAACAAAAUGUCUCAAAUUUGUUAAAAUUUGGAUGUAUCUAAACAUGACUUAGUGUAUAGAUGCAUUUAAAUUUGGUCAAAAUUGAGACAUUUUUUGUUGGACGGAGGGAGUAGUCC